rnacentral:lncRNA from 1 species
CACUUCCUGACCUUUGUUUCUGAUACAUUCUUUGAGAGGACAUCUCCACCUACCCCGUCACCUGGAUUGGAUCACCAGCCUCUCCCAAGAUGGGCCUGGCUUCCUCCUUGCUGGGGAAAGGCCCUAGGACCAAGCUUCUGAAGAACUGCACAUGGGAAAUACCAACCAAUUUAACUUCUUCAGAGACAACCUUGAACCCUGCUCACAACCAUGGCUAGCUACAAAAGGGGUCAUCUGCCAGGGAUGAUCCCAGAGGAAGAGUGGGAAUUCACCCUCCCCUUAGUGUGAAGUGCUUUCUCUGCCCUUUAUUUAUGAACUGAGAAAAAUUCUAACAAACCUACUGUGAAAUAAAGAUGGUCUUAACCCAUUUAUGCCUAGUGUUCCAUUAUUGGAACACUAAGCUUGUGAGAGUUAUUUAUAUCCUACUGCUCAAAACCAUUGCCAAACUUUUAUU